rnacentral:lncRNA from 1 species
CUUUCCACUGGUGCAGGAAAUGUCAGAAAAUACGGAAGAGGGUGCAUCGCUGUUUUCCGAGAAUGUUCGGCAGUCUGUGUUGGAGCUAACGACCAAGAAUAUGCCUAAACAAAUACAAGUGGAGACUGGAGAGGCACCAUGGGCCACUGGUGAAAAUACAGAGAACAGAAGAUCCAAAGCAUUUGAUGGUGAGGUUGUUCUUUGUAGCCCUCUGUUUCCUCACAAUGUAACCGGUUCGCA